UCCCUGGUGGUCCAGUGGCUAGGACUCUGAGCUCCCAAUGCAGAGGGGCCUGGGUUCGAUCCCUGGUCAGGAAA
rfam:TPA: Bos taurus chromosome 3, whole genome shotgun sequence.